AUUGAACGCUGGUGGCAGGCCUAACACAUGCCAGUCGAGCGGAUGAAGGGAGCUUGCUCCUGGAUUCAGCGGCGGACGGGUGAGUAAUGCCUAGGAAUCUGCCUGGUAGUGGGGGAUAACGUCCGGAAACGGGCGCUAAUACCGCAUACGUCCUGAGGGAGAAAGUGGGGGAUCUUCGGACCUCACGCUAUCAGAUGAGCCUAGGUCGGAUUAGCUAGUUGGUGGGGUAAAGGCCUACCAAGGCGACGAUCCGUAACUGGUCUGAGAGGAUGAUCAGUCACACUGGAACUGAGACACGGUCCAGACUCCUACGGGAGGCAGCAGUGGGGAAUAUUGGACAAUGGGCGAAAGCCUGAUCCAGCCAUGCCGCGUGUGUGAAGAAGGUCUUCGGAUUGUAAAGCACUUUAAGUUGGGAGGAAGGGCAGUAAGUUAAUACCUUGCUGUUUUGACGUUACCAACAGAAUAAGCACCGGCUAACUUCGUG
rnacentral:rRNA from 1 species